rnacentral:lncRNA from 1 species
GUUCGAGCAGUUAGCAGCAAAUGCAGGUUAGGGAGACAGGUCUGUAAUUGCUGGCUAGGUAUUUUUCGCCUUUUUUAAAAAUAGGGAUCACAUUUGCCUGUCUCCAGUCUGUUGGUACAUCUCCUUUCAAGAAAGAUGUGUUAAAAAUGAAAGCGAGAUGUGGUGCAAAUUCUGGUGCAAAUUGUUUAAGAAUUCGUGCUGGUAUUUCGUCUGGACCUGUAGCUUUAGAUGGAUCAAGAUUUUUCAAAAGUUUUUCUAUGCCAUUUGGUGUUACAUGUAUUUCUGCCAUAGAUGGAUAGUUGUCGGAUAGAGUUGGUAUUUGUUCUUUAUCAUUUUCAGGUGUAAAAACAGAGUGGUAUUGUUUAUUGAGUAUUUCAGCUUUUUGUUUUGUGUCGUCUAUCAGCAUACCUUCAGAUCUUAAUGGUGCAACUCCUGAACUGUCUUUUUUGGUGGACCUGAUAUAAUUCCAAAAUUUUUUCUGUUUUUGCGAG